rnacentral:rRNA from 1 species
UACGGAAGGCAGCAGUGGGGAAUAUUGCACAAAUGGGCGCAAGCCUGAUGCAGCCAUGCCGCGUGUAUGAAGAAGGCCUUCGGGUUGUAAAGUACUUUCAGUCGUGAGGAAGGUGUUAAGGUUAAUAACCUUAGCAAUUGACGUUAGCGACAGAAGAAGCACCGGCUAACUCCGUGCCAGCAGCCGCGGUAAUACGGAGGGUGCGAGCGUUAAUCGGAAUUACUGGGCGUAAAGGGCACGCAGGCGGUUAAUUAAGUUGGAUGUGAAAUCCCCGGGCUUAACCUGGGAAUGGCAUUCAAGACUGGUUAGCUAGAGUCUUGUAGAGGGGGUAGAAUUCCAUGUGUAGCGGUGAAAUGCGUAGAAAUGUGGAGGAAUACCGGUGGCGAAGGCGGCCCCUGGACAAAGACUGACGCUCAUGUGCGAAAGCGUGGGGAGCAAACAGGGAUUAGAUACC